GGGAUGGAGGGGUUGGCAGCAGCACAGUAUAGUAGAAUUUUCUGAUUCACUACCACUGCUGGUGUUACAGCGUGAACGUGACCUGAAGACAAAAUGGCUGUACAGAGUCAUUGUCACUUCCACAGGAGGGGUUUCGGCGACGCGUGUAAGGGAACUUUGGUGACUUAGUGCGGUCACUGGGAGAAUUGUAGAGUCCACUGGAGAGAAAGAAAAAUGGUCAAAAAGAGCCCAGAGAGUUCCUGGGGGAACACACACCCCAGCCUAGACCUAGAGUUAUUCAUAACUGCACAGCUGGUACUUCCAGAGGCACACGCACCAGGGGCAUGUGGUUCUCUUUGCUGACAAGAUUUAUUGAAGGAAAAGAGGAAAGAACUAUUCUAAAAUGGAACCCUCCCUCCAAAAAAGCCCAACCAGUCAAAGCAAUUCUAGGCAAAAAGAACAAAGCUGGAGGCAUCACACUACCCGACUUCAAACUAUACUACAAGGCUACAGUAACAAAAA
rnacentral:antisense_RNA from 1 species